rnacentral:tRNA from 1 species
GCUGUGGCUCAGUGGAAAAGCCCCUGUUUUAUUUGUAGAAGGUCCCAAGUUCAAUCCCUGGCGUCUCCA